rnacentral:tRNA from 1 species
CCUGGUGGCUCAGAUGGUAAAGCGUCUGCCUAUAAUGCGGGAGACCUGGGUUCAAUCCCUGGAUCAGGA